UAGGGAAUCUUCGGCAAUGGGGGGAACCCUGACCGAGCAACGCCGCGUGAGUGAAGAAGGUUUUCGGAUCGUAAAGCUCUGUUGUUAAGGAAGAACGAGUGUGAGAAUGGAAAGUUCAUGCUGUGACGGUACUUAACCAGAAAGGGACGGCUAACUACGUGCCAGCAGCCGCGGUAAUACGUAGGUCCCGAGCGUUGUCCGGAUUUAUUGGGCGUAAAGCGAGCGCAGGCGGUUAGAAAAGUCUGAAGUGAAAGGCAGUGGCUCAACCAUUGUAGGCUUUGGAAACUGUUUAACUUGAGUGCAGAAGGGGAGAGUGGAAUUCCAUGUGUAGCGGUGAAAUGCGUAGAUACAUGGAGGAACACCGGUGGCGAAAGCGGCUCUCUGGACAGUAACUGACGCUGAGGCGCGAAAGCGUGGGGAGCAAACAGG
rnacentral:rRNA from 1 species